rnacentral:rRNA from 1 species
CACGUAGGUAACCUGCCCAUGUGCCCGGGAUAACUUCUGGAAACGGAUGCUAAAACCGGAUAGGUAGCAGACAAGCAUUUGACUGCUAUUAAAGUGGCUAAGGCCAUGAACAUGGAUGGACCUGCGGUGCAUUAGCUAGUUGGUGAGGUAACGGCCCACCAAGGCGACGAUCAGUAGCCGGCUUGAGAGAGUGAACGGCCACAUUGGGACUGAGACACGGCCCAAACUCCUACGGGAGGCAGCAUG